GGCGGCAUGGCCAAGUGGUAAGGCGGGGGACUGCAACUGCAAAUCCUUUAUCCCCAGUUCAAAUCCAGGUGUCGCCU
rnacentral:tRNA from 1 species